AACGUACAUUAUUUAUAUUUAAAUAGAAUUUAUGAAUUUUAAGUAAUAAAUAUAUAAUUAACGUAUAUUUAUUUUAUUUUAAGUACGUUCUAAAUAUUUAACGAUUUUAGAACUUUAUUAUAUAUUUAAUGUAUAUUUAAUUUUAUUUAAAUAUAUUCUAAAUAUUUUAACGGUUUGUGCAAUAAAGAAUAAUUUUAGAAUUUUAAGUUAAAAAGAAUUUGAAUUACGAAAAUCGAUUGAAUUUAGAAAACGAUCAUAUUUCGGUUUUGGAUUCGAAUCCUAAAAUUAAACUCCUAACUCUAGCCCAAUUGGUGAAGCCCAAAGUAAUAAAACCCAAACUACCUACUCCCUUUUCUAAUCCAACUUCACGUGGAAAAGCAAACCUCAAACCCCUGCUACUUCAAGCUUCACGUAAAAAAAAAAAAACCCCAAAACCUCCUCCUUCACGUUCGUUUGCUCCUCCUUGCGCAGCCACCACCUCACCACCGUCGGACGCCGCCUCCGUCGCUGGUAACCUCCUUCUUCUUCGUCGUCCUUCUCCUUCCUCUCCUUCUCUGUUUCUUCUUCAUCCCCGUUUUUCUCCCCUCCUCAAGCUUCUGUUUUUCUUGCACAGCCGCCGCGGCCCAGCCGCGACCACCAAGCCAGCGCCGUCGGCCACCUUCGCGUCGCAAGCCGCCACCAGAACUCCUGCUGUUCUUCCUUCCCGUUCCCUCCUUCCUCCUCCACGCAAGCACAUCAUUGCUCUUGUUUCUGUUUGUUGCGGAAGCCACCACCACCGCACGCACCACCAGGCCUGACAACCUCCGCGAGCCGCCGCUGCCGCGCCGUCGUGUCUCUGACCGCCGACCGCCCACCCUCUUAUCCUCACUUUUGGCGGAGAAUUCUUUGUGGGUGACUUUUGAAUUCGUUAAAGUGGCCUAUCAGUUUGUUUACACAAGUCUCUAAGGAUCAAUAAGCAUUGUCCAUCUGCAGGUUUGAAGAUGAUGCAUCAUUGGGAUCGGGAUUAGAGAGCUUGUAUUUAGUUUUGUUUUGCUAAGUGACUUGGUUGGUUAAUUUGGAUUUUAAACUUGUCGUAUUAUUUAUAUUUCCUUAUUUUCGUUGGAUGAUUUUUGGGAUUAAACCUGUAAUCGGUUAUUUACAAA